rnacentral:misc_RNA from 1 species
CUCAGAACAGCCUAAUGGUUUAGUUCAAUUACAAAAGCAACUACUUCGUGAUACAUUGAAAUUAAAAAAUUUCAAGAAUAUAAGUAGUAUUGACAGUGGCAUCCACUUGAUCAAACGUUACAAAAGAGUUUUUGUUGUUCUUGAUGAUUUGGAUCAAUUGAAACAAGCGGAUGCAUUGGUAGGAGACCGAAAUUGGUUUGGCCCCGGAAGUCGAAUCAUCAUUACAACGAGAAAUGCUCAUUUGCUAGAUCAACUCCAAGUGGUCUUACAAUAUGAGGUCAGAGAACUGAAUCAUGAAGAGUCCCUUGAGCUUUUCAGCUGGAC